GCGCGUGUAACUCAGCUGGCUAGAGUACUUCCUUGACAUGGAAGAAGUCCCUGGUUCGAGUCCAGGUACGCGCA
rnacentral:tRNA from 1 species